UAGUCCCAGCAGUGGAAUUUCUGGAUAGUUCGUUACUAGAGAAGUUUCUUUGUAUGUGUAGAGCACCUGAAACCAUGAGGAGGAGGUGCAGUGUUCUCUUCUGAGCAUGAAAGCAUCUUUUGGUGUUACUUCUGCAACUGCCAAUAGCCAUUGAUGACCGUUCUUCUCUUCCUCUGGAAGAGUAAGAGGGAGAGAACAUAGUCUGAGUGGU